rnacentral:rRNA from 1 species
ACUCCUACGGGAGGCAGCAGUGAGGAUAUUGUCAAUGGGCGAGAGCCUGAACCAGCCAAGUAGCGUGCAGGAUGACGGCCCUAUGGGUUGUAAACUGCUUUUGUGCGGGGAUAAAGUGUGGGACGGGUCCCAUAUUGCAGGUACCGCAUGAGUAAGGACCGGCUAAUUCCGUGCCAGCAGCCGCGGUAAU